AUUAAACGCUGGCGGCAUGCCUUACACAUGCAAGUCGAACGGCAGCACGGGUGCUUGCACCUGGUGGCGAGUGGCGAACGGGUGAGUAAUACAUCGGCACAUGUCCUGUAGUGGGGGAUAGCCCGGCGAAAGCCGGAUUAAUACCGCAUACGAUCUACGGAUGAAAGCGGGGGACCUUCGGGCCUCGCGCUAUAGGGUUGGCCGAUGGCGGAUUAGCUAGUUGGUGGGGUAAAGGCCUACCAAGGCGACGAUCAGUAGCUGGUCUGAGAGGACGACCAGCCACACUGGGACUGAGACACGGCCCAGACUCCUACGGGAGGCAGCAGUGGGGAAUUUUGGACAAUGGGCGAAAGCCUGAUCCAGCAAUGCCGCGUGUGUGAAGAAGGCCUUCGGGUUGUAAAGCACUUUUGUCCGGAAAGAAAUCCUUGGCUCUAAUACAGUCGGGGGAUGACGGUACCGGAAGAAUAAGCACCGGCUAACUACGUG
rnacentral:rRNA from 1 species